rnacentral:rRNA from 1 species
AACGUACGCUGGCGGCACGCCUAACACAUGCAAGUCGAACGAAGUAGCAAUACUUAGUGGCAGACGGGUGAGUAACAUGUAGGUAUCUGCCCUUUGGCCUGGAAUAACACGAGGAAACUUGUGCUAAUACCGGAUAAGUCUUUACGGAGAAAGCUUUAUGCACCAUUGGAUGAGCCUGCACUUGAUUAGUUUGUUGGUGGGGUAAUGGCCUACCAAGACUGUGAUCAAUAGCUGAUUUGAGAGGAUGAUCAGCCACAUUGGGACUGAGACACGGCCCAAACUCCUACGGGAGGCAGCAGUGGGGAAUCUUGCACAAUGGAGGAAACUCUGAUGCAGCGAUGCCGCGUGAGUGAAGAAGGCCCUUGGGUUGUAAAGCUCUUUCGUCGGGGAAGAAAAUGACUGUACCCGAAUAAGAAGGUCCGGCUAACUUCGUGCCAGCAGCCGCGGUAAUACGAAGGGACCUAGCGUAGUUCGGAAUUACUGGGCUUAAAGAGUUCGUAGGUGGUUGAAAAAGUUAGUGGUGAAAUCCCAGAGCUUAACUCUGGAACUGCCAUUAAAACUUUUCAGCUAGAGUAUGAUAGAGGAAAGCAGAAUUUCUAGUGUAGAGGUGAAAUUCGUAGAUAUUAGAAAGAAUACCAAUUGCGAAGGCAGCUUUCUGGAUCAUUACUGACACUGAGGAACGAAAGCAUGGGUAGCGAAGAGGAUUAGAUACCCUCGUAGUCCAUGCCGUAAACGAUGUGUGUUAGACGUUGGAAAUUUAUUUUCAGUGUCGCAGGGAAACCGAUAAACACACCGCCUGGGGAGUACGACCGCAAGGUUAAAACUCAAAUGAAUUGACGGGGACCCGCACAAGUAGUGGAGCAUGUGGUUUAAUUCGAAGAUACGCGCAGAACCUUACCAACACUCGACAUGUUCGUCGCGACUCUAAGAGAUUAGAGUUUUCGGUUCGGCCGGACGAAACACAGGUGCUGCAUGGCUGUCGUCAGCUCGUGUCGUGAGAUGUUGGGUUAAGUCCCGCAACGAGCGCAACCCUCACUUUUAGUUGCCAUCAUUAAGUUGGGCACUCUGAAAGAACUGCCAGUGAUAAGCUGGAGGAAGGUGGGGAUGACGUCAAGUCCUCAUGGCCCUUACGUGUUGGGCUACACACGUGCUACAAUGGUAUCUACAACAGGAAGCAAGACUGCGAAGUUAAGCAAAUCCCUAAAAGAUACCUCAGUUCGGAUUGCACUCUGCAACUCGAGUGCAUGAAGCUGGAAUUACUAGUAAUCGUGGAUCAGCGUGCCACGGUGAAUGCGUUCCCGGGUCU